AUUGAACGCUGGCGGCAUGCUUUACACAUGCAAGUCGAACGGCAGCGCGGGGGCAACCCUGGCGGCGAGUGGCGAACGGGUGAGUAAUAUAUCGGAACGUUACCCAGAAGUGGGGGAUAACGUAGCGAAAGUUAACGCUAAUACCGCAUACGAUCUACGGAUGAAAGUGGGGGGACCUUCGGGGCCCUCAUGCUUUUGGAGCGGCCGAUAUCUGAUUAGCUAGUUGGUGAGGUAAAGGCUCACCAAGGCGACGAUCAGUAGCUGGUCUGAGAGGACGACCAGCCACACUGGAACUGAGACACGGUCCAGACUCCUACGGGAGGCAGCAGUGGGGAAUUUUGGACAAUGGGGGCAACCCGUGAUCCAGCAAUGCCGCGUG
rnacentral:rRNA from 1 species